ACAUCAAGUCCCAGAAUCCAUCACUUCACAAGAGAACAAGGGAGGAGUUACAUUUCACUGCAAACAAAAGGAGGGUGGGGAACUCGUCCUGGUGAGCGCUAAGACAAUCUGUCAUGGUUUCCUUUAAAUCUGUGAAUCAGGCACAAAUCCCCUUUGCUGUCAAUUAAGGAUCGGAGAAUUAUCUGCAUGAACUGUUUCCCAAAACAGAUUAAGGUGAAUCGAACAUCAGCAGCGUUUGUGAGCUUCACAUUUGAUGAGGGAAAACAUGAAACCCCUGUAAAAUAGAAGAGGUAUUUUCCCAGUGCCUGUUUUCAAAGUGGAGUAGGUCCUUCCAUCUGACAAGAGGGCACCCAUUCCAAUUAGAAGAGCUGUGAAGAUG